UACGGAGGGGGCUAGCGUUAUCCGGAUUCACUGGGUUUAAAGGGUGCGUAGGUGGGUUGGUAAGUCAGUGGUGAAAUCCCCGAGCUUAACUUGGGAACUGCCAUUGAUACUAUCAGUCUUGAAUAUUGUGGAGGUUAGCGGAAUAUGUCAUGUAGCGGUGAAAUGCUUAGAUAUGACAUAGAACACCCAAUUGCGAAGGCAGCUGGCUACGCAUAUAUUGACACUGAGGCACGAAAGCGUGGGGAUCAAACAGG
rnacentral:rRNA from 1 species